GGCAACCUGGCGGCGAGUGGCGAACGGGUGAGUAAUAUAUCGGAACGUACCCAGAAGUGGGGGAUAACGUAGCGAAAGUUACGCUAAUACCGCAUACGAUCUACGGAUGAAAGUGGGGGACCUUCGGGCCUCAUGCUUGUGGAGCGGCCGAUAUCUGAUUAGCUAGUUGGUAGGGUAAAGGCCUACCAAGGCGACGAUCAGUAGCUGGUCUGAGAGGACGACCAGCCACACUGGGACUGAGACACGGCCCAGACUCCUACGGGAGGCAGCAGUGGGGAAUUUUGGACAAUGGGCGCAAGCCUGAUCCAGCAAUGCCGCGUGAGUGAAGAAGGCCUUCGGGUUGUAAAGCUCUUUUGUCAGGGAAGAAACGGCUGGGGCUAAUAUCCCCGGCUAAUGACGGUACCUGAAGAAUAAGCACCGGCUAACUACGUGCCAGCAGCCGCGGUAAUACGUAGGGUGCAAGCGUUAAUCGGAAUUACUGGGCGUAAAGCGUGCGCAGGCGGUUUUGUAAGUCUGACGUGAAAUCCCCGGGCUCAACCUGGGAAUUGCGUUGGAGACUGCAAGGCUGGAGUCUGGCAGAGGGGGGUAGAAUUCCACGUGUAGCAGUGAAAUGCGUAGAGAUGUGGAGGAACACC
rnacentral:rRNA from 1 species